rnacentral:rRNA from 1 species
AACGAACGCUGGCGGCAUGCCUAACACAUGCAAGUCGAACGAGAUAUUCGGGUCUAGUGGCGCACGGGUGCGUAACGCGUGGGAAUCUGCCCUUUGGUUCGGAAUAACAGUUGGAAACGACUGCUAAUACCGGAUGAUGACGAAAGUCCAAAGAUUUAUCGCCAGAGGAUGAGCCCGCGUAGGAUUAGCUAGUUGGUGUGGUAAAGGCGCACCAAGGCGACGAUCCUUAGCUGGUCUGAGAGGAUGAUCAGCCACACUGGGACUGAGACACGGCCCAGACUCCUACGGGAGGCAGCAGUGGGGAAUAUUGGACAAUGGGCGAAAGCCUGAUCCAGCAAUGCCGCGUGAGUGAUGAAGGCCUUAGGGUUGUAAAGCUCUUUUACCCGGGAUGAUAAUGACGGUACCGGGAGAAUAGGCUCCGGCUAACUCCGUGCCAGCCGCCGCAGUAA